UACAGAGGGUGCAAGCGUUAAUCGGAAUUACUGGGCGUAAAGCGUGCGUAGACGGUUACAUAAGUCGGGUGUGAAAGCCCCGGGCUCAACCUGGGAAUUGCAUUCGAGACUGCGUAGCUAGGGUGCGGAAGAGGGAAGCGGAAUUUCCGGUGUAGCGGUGAAAUGCGUAGAUAUCGGAAGGAACACCAGUGGCGAAGGCGAGUCUCUGGACGACUCCUGACACUGAGGCACGAAAGCUGGGGGAGCAAACAGG
rnacentral:rRNA from 1 species